rnacentral:rRNA from 1 species
AACGAACGCUGGCGGCGGGCUUAACACAUGCAAGUCGAACGCCCCGCAAGGGGAGUGGCAGACGGGUGAGUAACGCGUGGGAAUCUACCCAUCCCUACGGAACAACUCCGGGAAACUGGAGCUAAUACCGUAUACGCCCUUAGGGGGAAAGAUUUAUCGGGGAUGGAUGAGCCCGCGUUGGAUUAGCUAGUUGGUGGGGUAAAGGCCUACCAAGGCGACGAUCCAUAGCUGGUCUGAGAGGAUGAUCAGCCACAUUGGGACUGAGACACGGCCCAAACUCCUACGGGAGGCAGCAGUGGGGAAUAUUGGACAAUGGGCGCAAGCCUGAUCCAGCCAUGCCGCGUGAGUGAUGAAGGCCUUAGGGUUGUAAAGCUCUUUCACCGAUGAAGACAAUGACGGUAGUCGGAGAAGAAGCCCCGGCUAACUUCGUGCCAGCCGCCGCAGUAAUAC